rnacentral:rRNA from 1 species
CCUACGGGUGGCAGCAGUGGGGAAUAUUGGACAAUGGGCGAAAGCCUGAUCCAGCCAUGCCGCGUGUGUGAAGAAGGCCUUCGGGUUGUAAAGCACUUUCAGUGGGGAAGAAAGCCUUGGGGCUAAUACCCUCGAGGAAGGACAUCACCCACAGAAGAAGCACCGGCUAACUCCGUGCCAGCAGCCGCGGUAAUACGGAGGGUGCGAGCGUUAAUCGGAAUUACUGGGCGUAAAGCGCGCGUAGGCGGUCUGAUAAGCCGGUUGUGAAAGCCCCGGGCUCAACCUGGGAACGGCAUCCGGAACUGUCAGGCUAGAGUGCAGGAGAGGAAGGUAGAAUUCCCGGUGUAGCGGUGAAAUGCGUAGAGAUCGGGAGGAAUACCAGUGGCGAAGGCGGCCUUCUGGACUGACACUGACGCUGAGGUGCGAAAGCGUGGGUAGCAAACAGGAUUAGUACCCGAGUAGUC